CCUACGGGAGGCAGCAGUGAGGAAUAUUGGUCAAUGGCCGGAAGGCUGAACCAGCCAAGCCGCGUGAGGGAGGAAGGCGCAGAGCGUCGCAGACCUCUUUUGCCGGGGGACAAAAGGCCGGACUCGUCCGGUCCUGAGGGUACCCGGAGAAAAAGCAUCGGCUAACUCCGUGCCAGCAGCCGCGGUAAUACGGAGGAUGCGAGCGUUAUCCGGAUUCAUUGUGUUUAACGGGUGCGCAGGGGGGCCUUUAAGCCGGCGGUGAAAUCGCGGGGCUCAACCCCGCCGAGCCGUCGGAACUGGGGGCCUUGAGUGCGGCGGAGGAAUGCGGAAUGCGAGGUGUAGCGGUGAAAUGCAUAGAUAUCGCGCAGAACCCCGAUUGCGAAGGCAGCGGGCCGUGCCGCCACUGACGCUGAGGCACGAAAGCGCGGGGAUCGAACAGGAUUAGAUACCCCAGUAGUC
rnacentral:rRNA from 1 species